UACGAGUGCCCCAAGCGUUAUCCGGAAUUAUUGGGCGUAAAGGGUGUGUAGGCGGCGUUGUUAGUCUCUUGUCAAAUUCUUCGGCUUAACCGGGGGCAGGCAAGGGAAACGGCAAUGCUAGAGGAUGCGAGGGGUGAGCGGAACUCAUGGAGUAGGGGUGAAAUCCGUUGAUAUCAUGGGGAACACCAAAAGCGAAGGCAGCUCACUGGCGCAUUCCUGACGCUGAAACACGAAAGCGUGGGUAGCGAACGGG
rnacentral:rRNA from 1 species